GACGAACGCUGGCGGCGUGCUUAACACAUGCAAGUCGAACGGAAAGGCCCCUUUGGGGUUACUCGAGUGGCGAACGGGUGAGUAACACGUGCGUAACCUGCCCUUGACUUCGGGAUAACUUCAGGAAACUGGGGCUAAUACCGGAUAGGAAUCCUUGCUGCAUGGUGGGGGUUGGAAAGCUUCGGCGGUUUUGGAUGGACUCGCGGCUUAUCAGCUUGUUGGUGGGGUAGUGGCUUACCAAGGCUUUGACGGGUAGCCGGCCUGAGAGGGCGACCGGCCACAUUGGGACUGAGAUACGGCCCAGACUCCUACGGGGGGCAGCAGUGGGGAAUAUUGCACAAUGGGCGGAAGCCUGAUGCAGCAACGCCGCGGGCGGGAUGACGGCCUUCGGGUUGUAAACCGCUUUCAGCAGGGGCGAAGCUUGUGGUGACGGUACCUGCAGAAGAAGCACCGGCUAACUACGUG
rnacentral:rRNA from 1 species